GACGUAGGAGGCGAGCGUUAUCCGGAAUCACUGGGCGUAAAGGGCAUGUAGGCGGUUGCGCAAGUCGUGUGUUAAAGCCCCUGGCUCAACUAGGGGAGGUCAUGCGAGACUGUGCGGCUAGAGGGCAGGAGAGGCACGUGGAACUCCCGGUGUAGCGGUGGAAUGCGUAGAGAUCGGGAAGAACAUCAGUGGCGAAGGCGACUCUCUGGUCCAUAACUGACGCUGAGUGUGCGAAAGCUAGGGGAGCAAA
rnacentral:rRNA from 1 species